UACGAAGGGGGCUAGCGUUGCUCGGAAUUACUGGGCGUAAAGGGAGCGUAGGCGGACAGUUUAGUCAGAGGUGAAAGCCCAGGGCUCAACCUUGGAAUUGCCUUUGAUACUGGGAAGCUCGAGUCCGGAAGAGGUGAGUGGAACUCCGAGUGUAGAGGUGAAAUUCGUAGAUAUUCGGAAGAACACCAGUGGCGAAGGCGGCUCACUGGUCCGGUACUGACGCUGAGGUGCGAAAGCGUGGGGAGCAAACAGG
rnacentral:rRNA from 1 species